ensembl:lincRNA
UACCAAUAAACCUAAUGAAUUAAAAAAAAAAAAGAAGUUUUUGAGCAAUUGGGAUCCAGUUACGUCACCCUUGGUAGAUGACCCUUUUCCCUUACAGCUAAGCCGUGUUUGCUGCAGCUGAACUGAACUGUACUGAGAAGGAACAGCGGAUUCCUGUGCUCUGGGACAGCAAUCAGAGAGCUCACAAAUACACUGAGAUGAGUGGUGAAUGCCUGCAUUUAUGGAGCCAUCUCACUGCCUGCAUUUGGCCAUCUCUGCAAGUUGGUAUCAGCCACCAGCCACGAGGGGAAGAGGGGAAAGGAAAGGGACAUUUCCUUUCCUAACCCAGUGUAUCUUUCAAAAGGGUGCAGACUGGUGGAUAUGGUCUUGUUUUUUUUUCAAAGUGAAAACUCGCAGGAAGAAAAGAGGACCUCAACCUCCCAACCAGAAGCCCUGCUCCUAGCACACCACGGAGCCAACUUGGAACUCCACACCUCCCACCCUGCUCCUGCCCUAAUGCACUGUGACAUCUGGCUGAAGUGGACGCUCAGGGCCUGGGCUGAGCUGGGGACAUGGGCCUUUCUUUUCUGGGCUGGGUCUGUGCGUCACUACAGAGAGACUGUGGACUCUCCAUGAAAGGGCUUCUCACCCUCUGCAGUCCAGCAGUGAAUGGAAAUUUGUAUUUUAGAAUUUUCCAUCAAUGUAAGAAUUCUGAUUGAUCUCUAUAACCUUGAUUCUAUCCUUUUCUCCCCGCCCCCAACAAAGUCAUUUUUCUAUUGGAGAAAAGAAAAUGACAGUAGGGAAUAAUGAAUAUUAGAAGUAGAUGAUUGUUUUAGACUCCAGACUUCUAAAAUUAUAUAUGAUAGCUCUUCAACACAAAGAGAGCAAAGACAAAGGGAAACAUCUUUGUUGUUUUAGUGGCCUGCUUUAAUUGCAUUCUUUUAUCUUGGUAUAAGCUGAAUUUAAAAACUGAUGCCUGUGGUUUGGUUUCUAAACUGAAAUUUUUUAGCCCUACAAAAUUGGAGCAUUUCAAGGAAAAACAGGAGAGGUCAAUAUUGCUUUGUUGUUGGUGUCUCUGAAUGGAGUGACACAGAGAAAGGAUCUAGGACAAAUUGCAAACAAGUGUAAUACAGUGCCUGGAGUCCAGUGGGAGGGGAAAGCACUGGCCACAAUUCUGUGGAUUUAGGUAUGGCUGGCUUCAUAAAGAGGCUGGCACGUAUCUGCUCUGGGGACACGGUAGGAGUGGGAAACAAUGGGUAUCUGGAAAUCAAGAAAACUUCGUUGAAGGCUUUUGUGAAGGGUGUAAAGCACUGAAGAAGAAAUCAGAUAGUUCCAAAUAUAUAGACGGUUAAAGUGAGCAUAUCUUUAGGGAAAAGAAAUUGUCUACUUGCCUGUAGGAUACACCAAAAAAAAAAAAAAGGAGGGAUUGGACAGGGUAGUAAGCAUCAUGUCUUAUAGUGAAAGGUCUGAGACAUUUGUGAAAAAUCGUUAAAAUAAAAAUAAAAUAUUCAUUGAGUCAAACAAAUCUAGUGAUUACAUAAGCUAUAGGUCCUAUAGGAUAUCUAAUAAAAAUGUAUGGAAAUCCCUCAGGUGGGUCCUCCAUGUCCACACACUUUUAAGAUGCUGCUUAGAACUUUAGGAGUUUAUAGAUGCCUAGGACACUACAUGCCGAGCAGCUUUGAUUCAGAUGGACUUGACUGGCAUUUAAACAAAUGAAUCAAUUAUAAGAAAAAUAGCAUAUUAUUUUGAUAAGAUAUAGACCAGAAUUUUCUACCAUUUUUCUCUGCAAAGAAACAGACCCGAGGGUCAGCGGAAUAGAUUAGAAGAUGCAAAAACAACUCCAGACACAUGCAGCUACCUCAUCUGUGACAAAGGAGCCAACUAUCCUCACUGGAGGAAAUAUAGCCUCUUUAAUAGAUGGUGUUGGAAAAGUUGGCUUUCAGCCAGCCAAAGAUUAAAACUGGACCCCUAUCUUUCACCAUGGACUAAACUAAAAAUCCAAGCAGAUUAAUGAGCUAGUACUAAAACAGAAACACUAAACUUGCUGGAAGUUAAGUUAGGAAGAACUCUUGAAGAUAUUGGCAUAGGAAAAGACUUUAUGAACAAAUCUUCAGUAGCAUGUGAACUAGCGCAAAGAAUCAACAAUUGGGAUCUCAUCUUAAAAAGCUUCUGCACUUCCAGAGAAAUCACAAGCAGAGCUAUGAGACAACCCACAAUGUGGGAAAAAAUUUUUACCAACUGUUCCUCAGAGAAAGGUCUACUAUCUAGAAUAUCUAAAGAACCAAAAAAAAAAAAUCAGACCCCCCCAAAUAUAAAGAACCAAUUGAAAAAUGGGCAUCUGAAAUGAACAGACAUUGCUUAGACAAAGAAGUGAAAAUAGCAAAUAAACAUAUGAAAAAAUGUUCAAUAUCACUGGUCAUUUGAGAGAUGCAUAUGAAAACAACACUGAGGGCCAGGAAGUUAGCUCAGUGGUUCUGCUGCCUACCUCACAAGUGAAAAUACCCGAGUUCAAUCCCUGGUGCCAAACAAAGAAACAAACAAACAAGCCAAAAAUGCUGAGAUUCCACCUCACUCCGGAAAGAAUGGCUACUAUCACAAAAUCAACCAAGAACAAAUGCUGACGGGGUUGUGGGAGAAAAGGAACCCUUCUUCACUGUUGGUAGGAGUGCAGACUGGUGUAACCACUGUGGAAAUCAAUAUGGGGAUACCUCAAACAACUAGGAUUAGAGGUCCCAUUUGGCCCAGCUAUCCUUCUGCUGGGUAUAUUCCCAAAAGAAUUAAAAGAAUCAUACUACAACAAUAUAUGCUCACCCAUGUUAUAGUGACAGUUUGUGAUAGCUAAAAUUUGGAAACAGCCCAAUUGCCCAUCAGCUGGAGACUGGAUAAAGAAGUGUGUGUGUGUGUGUGUUUUAAUAAAAUGGAGUACAACUCAGCCAUAAAGAAUGAGAAACUAGAGACAUUUAUAGUGAAGUGGAUGCACAUUGAGGCCAUAGUCUCAAGUUAAAGUAAUAGGACACACGUGUAAAUACUGAAUAGUUUCUCUGGUGUGAAAAUCUAAAAGUGUAAAUGAGGAUCAAAAUAUAUAAUUGAUACUGUAUAACAGGGAGAAAAGGUCUAAAAGAGUAGAGGAAAUGGGAGGGGUAGGGCAAAGGUGAAAAGGGAAAAGAAAAAAACAUGAGAAAAGGAAAAACUUGGAAAAAAGUCUUUGUAAAUAGGUAGAGUUGAG